UGAGGAAUCAGCAUCGGCUAACUCCGUGCCAGCAGCCGCGGUAAUACGGAGGAUGCAAGCGUUAUCCGGGAAUUAUUGGGCGUAAAGCGUCCGCAGGUGGCUUACCAAGUCUGCUGUCAAAGCGCAGGGCUUAACUCUGUAAGGGCAGUGGAAACUGGUAGGCUAGAGUGCGACAGGGGUAGAGGGAAUUCCCAGUGUAGCGGUGAAAUGCGUAGAUAUUGGGAAGAACACCAGUGGCGAAGGCGCUCUACUGGGUCGCAACUGGCACUCAUGGACGAAAGCUAGGGGAGCGAAAGGGAUUAGAUACCCCUGUAGUCCUAGCUGUAAACGAUGGACACUAGGCGUUGGACGUAUCGACCCGUUCAGUGCCGUAGCUAACGCGUUAAGUGUCCCGCCUGGGGAGUACGCACGCAAGUGUGAAACUCAAAGGAAUUGACGGGGGCCCGCACAAGCGGUGGAGUAUGUGGUUUAAUUCGAUGCAACGCGAAGAACCUUACCAGGGCUUGACAUCCCGCGAAUCCUCUGGAGACGGAGGAGUGCCUUCGGGAGCGCGGAGACAGGUGGUGCAUGGCUGUCGUCAGCUCGUGUCGUGAGAUGUUGGGUUAAGUCCCGCAACGAGCGCAACCCUCGUUUUUAGUUGCCAUCAUUAAGUUGGGCACUCUAGAGAGACUGCCGGUGACAAACCGGAGGAAGGUGGGGAUGACGUCAAGUCAUCAUGCCCCUUACGUCCUGGGCUACACACGUACUACAAUGCUUCGGACAAAGGGUUGCCAACCAGCAAUGGUGCGCUAAUCCCAUAAACCGAGGCUCAGUUCAGAUUGCAGGCUGCAACUCGCCUGCAUGAAGGAGGAAUCGCUAGUAAUCGCAGGUCAGCAUACUGCGGUGAAUACGUUCCCGGGCCUUGUACACACCGCCCGUCACACCAUGGGAGUUGGCCACGCCCGAAGUCGUUACUCUAACCGU
rnacentral:rRNA from 1 species